rnacentral:RNase_P_RNA from 1 species
GUAAGCUAGGUAAUCGCCGGUGGUGUACCGCAAGGUCCCACGGGAGGAAAGUCCGAGCUCCAUAGGGCAGGGUGCCGGUUAACGACCGGUGGGAGCGAUCCUAAGGCUAGUGCCACAGAAAUGUAGACCGCCGAUGGGGGCCAUUAGGCCUCACAGGCAAGGAUGCAACGGUGCGGUAAGAGCGCACCAGCAGCAUGGAGACAUGCUGGCUAGGUAAACCCCACUUGGAGCAAGACCUAAGAGGAGACCGGUGUCAUUUUGAUGGCACAGCUGUUGCCCGCAGUGGUCUCGGGUUGGUCGCUGGAGGUGUGUAGCAAUGCACAUCCUAGACAGAUGAUUGCCACUCCAACAGUGGGAGACGAACAAGCCGUCGUUUAGACCACUAGGAGUACAAAACUCGGCUUAUUGCUUGCUU